rnacentral:rRNA from 1 species
UUGAAUUGAAGAGUUUGAUCAUGGCUCAGAUUGAACGCUGGCGGCAGGCUUAACACAUGCAAGUCGAACGGUAGCAGGAGGAAGCUUGCUUUCUUGCUGACGAGUGGCGGACGGGUGAGUAAUGCUUGGGAAUCUGGCUUAUGGAGGGGGAUAACGACGGGAAACUGUCGCUAAUACCGCGUAGUGUCGAGAGACGAAAGUGCGGGACUGUAAAGCCGCAUGCCAUAGGAUGAGCCCAAGUGGGAUUAGGUAGUUGGUGGGGUAAAUGCCUACCAAGCCUGCGAUCUCUAGCUGGUCUGAGAGGAUGACCAGCCACACUGGAACUGAGACACGGUCCAGAC